CAGCCUCCACGCCGCCCCCCACUUCCCCGAUUCCACCGCCUCCAUGCCGCUGUCGUCGCCGCCCCUCUCCCUCCCCCCUUUUCCCUCACACCGUCACAGCCUCCACGCCACCGUCGCCGGCCCCCCGCUUUCCCCGACUCUACCGCCUCCACGCCGCCGUCGCUGCCGCCCUUCUCCCCUCCCCCCCUUUUCCCCCACGCCAUCCAACCGUCACAGCCUCCACGCCGUCGUCGCCGCCCCCCGGACUCCACCGCAUCCACGCCGGCGUCGCCGCAGCGGGAGAAGGAGGUCUCCGCGCGACGGAUUCCGGAGACGCCGCGGUCUUCUCCCUCCCGCGUGGUCCCUCCAUCACCACCGAUUGACCGCCUCCACGAUGCCGCCUCCACAGGAGCAGGGGAACGCCACGGCCUUCUCCCUCUCCCGCGCGGUCCUCCCCAUCAACGCCGUUUCACCGGCUCCACCGGUCGCUGUCCAGGCCGCCGCCACCUCAGCUGGGUAUUAUCUGUGUCUGAUGAUUUGAUGAAUGUUGGAUCGAAGGUUUGAAUAGAACGGUGAUUAGCUGCUGGCUGUCGGGUACUUCUCCAGCAGCCGCCGCCGCUGAUCUUCUUCCCAGGACAACUUUCUGCAGCCGCCGAUCGCCAGACACAUAUCACUUGUUCAUGGUUAUUUAAUUCAAGGCUACUUAGUAGUAUAUGUUCUCAUAUGGUCUUUAGUACAGUCAGUCUAUCAUGCAUAUUAUGCUGCAGCAGAACUUUUUUCUUAAUAUACAUGUAUAUAUUUUCAUAUAUGCAAACAUUGGGAUGCGACAUUAUCUAUUUCAACACUGAAAGUUUCUGAAAAAUAUAAGAUAGGGAAGUCUGAAAACUUACUAUCACAAUAUAGGAAUAAUAGGGAGGUCUAUGGCCCUCAAUUUCCUCUGUUCUAUACCUCUAUGUAAUUCUUUUAUCUGAUAGUUUUAUAUAUCACCACCAAAUUCAUAUAUACAUCAUAUAUAAUCUUUGAGAUGAUAUUUUAUAUAGUGUAGUCUUACCAAUUUCUUUUGUAGUAGAUCUGAACACGUCAAUGAAGGGUAUUAAUAAUGACUUGUUUGUUUUCUGCAUUGUAGUUUCAACAAAUCGCCAUACCCUGUGCCUCCUCUCUCUAUCCAUCAGUUGCCUGCCGACGAUCUUCUGCCGACGAAGUGCUGCUGUCCGCCGCGAUCUUUUGCAUACGCCACGCCACGUUUGGCCUUCUCAGAUGAUCGCUGGGAAGGCCUCACGGCCCUUCCCCCUGAUCGACUGCUUGAUCUACCUCGACACGAUGGUCUACAGCAAGGCUGCAGUGCGGUCAUGAGGUCCACCUUGGAACAGAGCAAAUGGAUUGCAGUUAAGAAAUGCUUAUCGAUAUUCAACAUUUCUUAGGUCAGCUGGUCAGAGGCUGGGUCACUUUUUGGCAUUAUUGAGCAGAAGAUGUUCUCGCAAUUUUCCCCUUUACUGUACUGAACUUAUACCAUCUAUUUUCUUAAAUGUCAAAUACUUAAUUGAGACUGCAUUGUGUCACUGACGGUUGCUUGAUAGCCAAAAUAAAAAGAGAAAUAUAAUAUAAUAAAUUUGUGCGGAGGUUUCUGGAUGAGCCUCUUAUCAUUUUCCUUAUUUA